rnacentral:rRNA from 1 species
CCUACGGGUGGCAGCAGUGAGGAAUAUUGGUCAAUGGUCGGGAGACUGAACCAGCCAAGCCGCGUGAGGGAUGAAGGUACAGAGUAUCGUAAACCUCUUUUGCCAGGGAACAAAGGCGGGGACGUGUCCCCGGAUGAGUGUACCCGAAGAACAAGCAUCGGCUAACUCCGUGCCAGCAGCCGCGGUAAUACGGAGGAUGCGAGCGUUAUCCGGAUUUAUUGGGGUAAAAGGGUGCGCAGGCGGGCUGUUAAGUCAGCGGUAAAAGCCCGGGGCUCAACCCCGGCCCGCCGUUGAAACUGGGAGUCUCGAGUUGGAGAGAAGUAUGCGGAAUGCGCGGUGUAGCGGUGAAAUGCAUAGAUAUCGCGCAGAACUCCGAUUGCGAAGGCAGCAUGCCGGCUCCACACUGACGCUGAGGCACGAAAGCGUGGGUAUCGAACAGGAUUAGAUACCCGAGUAGUC